rnacentral:rRNA from 1 species
UACGUAGGGUGCAAGCGUUGUCCGGAAUUAUUGGGCGUAAAGAGCUCGUAGGCGGUUUGUUGCGUCGGCUGUGAAAUCCCGAGGCUCAACCUCGGGUCUGCAGUCGAUACGAGCAAACUAGAGUGUUGCAGGGGGAGACUGGAAUUCCUGGUGUAGCGGUGAAAUGCGCAGAUAUCAGGAGGAACACCGGUGGCGAAGGCGGGGUCUCUGGGCAACAACUGACGCUGAGGAGCGAAAGCGUGGGGAGCGAACAGG